GGUUGAUCCUGCCAGUAGUCAUAUGCUUGUCUCAAAGAUUAAGCCAUGCAUGUCUAAGUAUAAGCAAUUUAUACAGUGAAACUGCGAAUGGCUCAUUAAAUCAGUUAUCGUUUAUUUGAUAGUACCUUUACUACUUGGUUAUAACCGUGGUAAAUCUAGAGCUAAUACAUGCUUACAAUCCCGACUGUUUGGAAGGGACGUAUUUAUUAGAUAAAAAAUCAAUGCCUUCGGGCUCCUUGAUGAUUCAUAAUAACUUUUCGAAUCGCAUGGCUUCAGUGCUGGCGAUGGUUCAU
rnacentral:rRNA from 1 species